UGUCUACUCCACUACUCUAGUCAUGCUUUGCUGAAUUAAAGGAGGAUAAAUCCGUCUGACUCACGGUGCGGCAGUGUGGAGACCUGUCGUAAUGCUCCCGGAAUUUCUACUUUCCGGGUACGCGAGAACGCACGCGAAAAUGGUAGGUGCGUUUAGAGUCGAAAAACGUAUGGCA
rnacentral:ncRNA from 1 species